rnacentral:rRNA from 1 species
UACGGAGGGUGCGAGCGUUGUCCGGAUUUAUUGGGUUUAAAGGGUGCGUAGGUGGCUGUUUAAGUCAGUGGUGAAAUACGGUUGCUCAACAAUCGAGGUGCCAUUGAUACUGAAUAGCUUGAAAUAAUUGGAGGCUGCCGGAAUGGAUGGUGUAGCGGUGAAAUGCAUAGAUAUCAUCCAGAACACCGAUUGCGAAGGCAGGUGGCUACGAUUGGUUUGACACUGAGGCACGAAAGCAUGGGGAGCAAACAGGAUUAGAUACCCUGGUAGUCCAUGCUGUAAACGAUGAGGACUCGCUGUUUGAUGGCAACAUUGAGCGGCUUAGGGAAACCGUUAAGUCCUCCACCUGGGGAGUACGCCGGCAACGGUGAA